rnacentral:rRNA from 1 species
UACGUAGGGUGCGAGCGUUGCUCGGAAUCACUGGGCGUAAAGGGUGCGUAGGCGGGUCUUUAAGUCAGGGGUGAAAUCCUGGAGCUCAACUCCAGAACUGCCUUUGAUACUGGCGAUCUCGAGUCCGGGAGAGGUGAGUGGAACUGCGAGUGUAGAGGUGAAAUUCGUAGAUAUUCGCAAGAACACCAGUGGCGAAGGCGGCUCACUGGCCCGGUACUGACGCUGAGGUGCGAAAGCGUGGGGAGCAAACAGG